rnacentral:rRNA from 1 species
AGCGAACGCUGGCGGCGUGCCUAACACAUGCAAGUCGAACGUGAAAGGGAGCAAUCCCAAGUAAAGUGGCGUACGGGUGAGUAACACGUAGGUAAUCUACCCCAGAAUCUGGAAUAACCGGCCGAAAGGCUGGCUAAUAAUGGAUAUAGCGACUGAAUCCGUAAUGGGGUUUUUCGGGAAAGUGAGACUGUAAAAAGUCCUUCGUGCUGGGAUGGGCCUGCGUCGCAUGAGCGGGAUGGUGAGGUAAAAGCUUAACAAGGCAAUGACGCGUAGCUGGUUUGAGAGGACGAAUAACCAAACUGGAACUGAAACCAGGUCCAGACUCCUACGGGAGGCAGCAGUGGGGAAUCUUGCGAAAUGGACGACAGUCUGACGCAGCAACGCCGCGUGAGUGAAGAAGGCCUUCGGGUUGUAAAGCUCUGUCGAGUGGGACGAAAAUGCUUGGAGUUAACAGCCCCAGGAACUGACGGUACCAAUAAAGGAAGCACCGGCUAACUUCGUG